UACGUAGGGGGCAAGCGUUGUCCGGAAUCAUUGGGCGUAAAGCGCGCGUAGGUGGCUUCGUAAGUCCGUUGUGAAAGUCAAAGGCUCAACCUUUGAAAGCCGAUGGAUACUGUGGAGCUAGAGUACGGAAGAGGCGAGUGGAAUUCCUGGUGUAGCGGUGAAAUGCGCAGAUAUCAGGAAGAACAUCGGUGGCGAAGGCGCUCUGCUGGACCAUAACUGACACUCAGGGACGAAAGCUAGGGGAGCGAAUGGG
rnacentral:rRNA from 1 species